AUUCUAUAGGCAAAGAGCAUACAAAAUUAUGGGAUUCGAGCCCAACAAAGGACCAAACAUUUGUCAGGCUCUAAGCCUUAUGCUCAGCGCAGCUAUGAGAAGAGACCCAGAAACUGGUGAUGAGCCCAAUGAUAUGGAACUUUGGUUUAUAACUCACACAAAGGAUGGGCACUGGAAAGACCAACAAUCUAGGGAUGUCUACGACAAAGCAAGCAGCC